GGAGUACAUUUGCAUAGUACCUGGCUUUAUGACAGCAUUGCCCCUUGAGGUUGUGCCCGUUACAACUUGAUGUCAAAAGAUGCUCUGUCAUUGCAGAUACUCAAAUGAAGUGUUAAUAGAGAAAAGAUGUUAGUGGAUGUUAUGGCUGGAGUUCUGUCAACAGUUUACUAAAGGUGUGUGAAGAUAGUCUUUAACUGGCAAAGGGACACAACAGAUGCUUUUCAAUUCCAUUAAACUCCAUGCAUCAAAUUCUGCUUCUCAGUGUGGUGCCAAUGGCCUGGAACUGAAAGUAAACCAUUUUGCUAUGCUCUUAAAUGACAGGAGUAUGGAGUAAUCAUCAUACAGAAAAGUUUUGGAAAGGUGGAACAACAGCUGGAAGGACCCUGCUUCCUAACCAGAGCAGAAGGAGGAACUUGAUGGCUACCAGAGCUGUGAGAGAAGGAAGUUCAGAGGUGGGGAAAACAGAGAUAACAACAUAGAUUGGAAAGAGACAAGCAUGUGAAAAAACAGAUAAAAGGAGCCAA